UUUGAUGACGACUGUGUUUGUGUCUUGCUUACAACAGGUCGUGAAUGUCUGUGAGGUUAGUCCGCUCAAGACCAAGCCCAGCGUCUACCGAUUAAAAGCAGCCAUUCGUCUCAGCCCUGCUUCUGGGGCUGUUUGCCCUCUAUCGACCCCUUCCUGACACUCAGAGGAAUUGAACGCUCUUCCACUGACCAUUCUCCUCCUGGACCCUCGGCUUCCCCUCAAAGUUGACCAACCCCCGUGGGUUCUCUGUUCUCCUUUGCAACCCAGGCCUAACAUGCAGGACCAGCCACAAAGCUCGGGAGCCCAGCGCAGAGUGAAAAUGAGGGGCCCCUUCUGAGCACGGGGCCUGGUAUGACUACCAUGAAGCCAGCACUGCCUGAAGGUCUGCAACUUCAGGCCCUGCUCCAGUCCCUCUCCCUCUUGGUCCUGAAGCUCUCGACAUCCGUGGCUACCCUUUUCCUCUCAGCCUCCCCAGGUCCUGCUCAAAGAGUCUUCUAUGCAUCUGUGCUCCUGAAAGAGGGAACUUCAUCCAGGAUCUUGCAGAUCGCCCAUCCGUCUUACUGCAGACACUGCUCGCCACGACUGUCUUCCUGAAGCACUGGCCGAAGUCCUCCCCGGGAGGAGCAGAGGGGUGGGUCCACAGAGUCGGAGUGUGCAGUGUGCAACCUGCAUAGCUGUAUGCAGCAGCCUCGAGUCAAAGGAGGACUUGCCCAGGAACCAAAAUUAGGUGUCCAGGAAGGUCUUCAGGCAGAGUUUAUGUGCCCAGGACUAGUAACAAGAAGUGACCCUCAGAUAUCAUAUCACUUACUAUACCCCAAUCCCUGGUUAAGUUUUUUGCACAUAUUAAAUAAUCGAUUUCUUUCUCACAA